CGCGAAUCGCCCUUCGGGGUGCAGCAGGCGCGAAAACUUUACAAUGCCGGCAACGGCGAUAAGGGAACCUCGAGUGCCAGGUUACAAAUCUGGCUGUCGUGAUGCCUAAAAAGCAUUGCAUAGCAAGGGCCGGGCAAGACCGGUGCCAGCCGCCGCGGUAACACCGGCGGCUCGAGUGGUAACCGUUAUUAUUGGGUCUAAAGGGUCUGUAGCCGGCCGGGUAAGUCUCUUGGGAAAUCUGGCAGCUUAACUGUCAGGCUUUCAGGAGAUACUGCCUGGCUCGAGGCCGGGAGAGGUGAGAGGUACUUCAGGGAUAGGGGUGAAAUCUUGUAAUCCUUGAAGGACCACCAGUGGCGAAGGCGUCUCACCAGAACGGACCUGACGGCAAGGGACGAAAGCUAGGGGCACGAACCGGAUUAGAUACCCGGGUAGUCCUAGCCGUAAACGAUACUCGCUAGGUGUCGGCCACGGUGCGACCGUGGUCGGUGCCGUAGGGAAGCCGUGAAGCGAGCCACCUGGGAAGUACGGCCGCAAGGCUGAAACUUAAAGGAAUUGGCGGGGGAGCAC
rnacentral:rRNA from 1 species